UGUUUCUAUAUUUGUUUUAUAACACAUUGUAGAGUAUAUUAUAUUAUAUAUAAUUGUAUACAUAUCCUGUUGUAUUAUUGCAUAUUAUAUUGCCUAAAUGUAUCCUCAUCAUUAUUUGUAUGUGUUCCCUUUAGACCCCACACACACCUAUACUACAAUUGUUCAACUUCAUCAUUAAAGAGUGCCUGAAAGCCUCUCUGUGCCCUACUCUCUGACCGGAGUCCUUGUCCUAAGAAGAUAUCAGACCAGCAUUCCGCAUCCAGAGUAACCUACUCUAUCACACACACCAUCACUUGAAGAAGGAGGAAUAUAAAACUGCUUCGGCUUCUCCAAGUUAGGAGUGCCACUUGUUGGACUUGACCUCCUCCAGGAACUGCAGUUCUGUAUGACCACGCUCGCUUGUAAUAAAGCAACUUUUUGUUCA